AAGUUUAAGUUAAAUAAACUCAGGGCCUUCAAAGCCCUAAAUAGGAAGUACACCCUAACUUCUG
rnacentral:tRNA from 1 species